GGGGAAGUGGCACAGUGGUAGCGCGCCCGCUUCGCAUGCGGAAGGCCCCGGGUUCAAUCCCCGGCUUCUCCA